rnacentral:ncRNA from 1 species
GUCGCCCUGCUCUUGUCGAAUGCCUACGCUCCGCGUGGGUCAGGCGACGGCCAGUAGGCAAGGCGGGGCGGC